UAAUACGGAGGGGGCUAGCGUUAUUCGGAAUUAUUGGGCGUAAAGGGCGUGUAGGCGGCUUCGUGUGUCCCAUGUGAAAGCCCUCGGCUCAACCGGGGAACUGCAUGGGAAACUGCGGAGCUUGAGUCCGGGAGAGGAGAGCGGAAUUCCCAGUGUAGCGGUGAAAUGCGUAGAUAUUGGGAGGAACACCGGUGGCGAAGGCGGCUCUCUGGACCGGUACUGACGCUGAGACGCGAAAGCCAGGGGAGCAAACGGGAUUAGAUACCCCGGUAGUCCUGGCUGUAAACGAUGAGAACUUGGUGUGGCGGGUAUCGACCCCUGCCGUGCCGAAGCUAACGCAUUAAGUUCUCCGCCUGGGGAGUACGGCCGCAAGGCUG
rnacentral:rRNA from 1 species